GUAGGGAAUAUUGCGCAAUGGACGAAAGUCUGACGCAGCAACACCGCGUGGGUGAUGACGCAUUUAGGUGUGUAAAACCCUGUCAGCGGGGAAGAACCGCACAAGGAGUUACUGCCUUGUGUCUGACGGUACCCGCAGAGGAAGUCCCGGCUAACUCCGUGCCAGCAGCCGCGGUAAUACGGGGGGGACAAGCGUUGUUCGGAUUUACUGGGCGUAAAGGGCGCGUAGGCGGACUCUCAAGUCGGGUGUGAAAACUGGCGGCUCAACUGCCAGCCUGCAUCCGAAACUGUGAGUCUUGAGUACGGGAGAGGAAAGCGGAAUUCCAGGUGUAGCGGUGAAAUGCGUAGAUAUCUGGAAGAACACCGGUAGCGAAGGCGGCUUUCUGGACCGAUACUGACGCUAAAGCGCGAAGGCUUGGGUAGCAAACAGG
rnacentral:rRNA from 1 species